rnacentral:lncRNA from 1 species
AACAAGUGAUUUUCCUCAACUUCUAAAAUGCAUAACUCCUACAUGCCAAUUCCAAAUGAGGUCAAAUUUCGGGCCAAAUUGAAGAGGUUUGAAAGAACUACAACUUUUAUGAAAGAACUUUUCUCAUUUGAAAUCCAUAGAAAAAUUUAUUCUAUGUGGAGGAAGUGAACAUUUGACUUGGGACUUAGAAAAUUUUCAAAUAUGUUUGAUUUUCC